GGCUAGUAUAAAGCGGGGGCGGAACGAACUACUCCUCCCAUCAUGCCAGGGGGCAGCUCCGCGCGUCCCUCCCUGGGAGUUGUAGUCCCCUGCCCCUCAGAUCCAACGGCAUCCUCAGUGUGUGAACUCUGUUACCCAGAAGGCCUCCAGCACCGAAGCUGGAAUUCCUCAGUUACUCGUUCUCUCCGGCAAUUAGCGGAACCUGUUAGCGCUGCCCACAAGGCUCAGCGGGGCUGCGCGAGGCUAGUAGCUAAUCAAGAGGAGCUUCGGUAAACUGCCACCUGGCCACGGCGACAGGAACCCUCAGAUUCGCUGCUACCCUGAGGUGCCUGCCAUGCCUCACAUCGACAACGACGUCAAACUGGACUUCAAGGAUGUCCUGUUGAGGCCCAAACGCAGUACCCUUAAGUCUCGAAGUGAGGUGGAUCUCACAAGAUCCUUUUCAUUUCGGAACUCAAAGCAGAUGUACACUGGGAUCCCCAUCAUUGCAGCCAAUAUGGAUACCGUAGGCACCUUUGAGAUGGCCCAGGUUCUCUGUAAGGUUAUUGCUCAUUUUCAAAAUGGAAGCUGCUGCUCCUUUCAGUAAUAUUACCUGCCUCUAUAUUUGUAGCUGAGAAGGUAGAUAGUCUGGGCAUCCUGAGGACAUAUGCACUCUUCUGGUUAAUCCAGGUAGCCCUGGUUGAUGGAUUCUGCUGCUGCUUGUGGCUCUGUCAGCCUUAAGGACUUCAUCUCCCUUUCUCUAUUUUUGAUUGCUUUCUCCCUCUUCACUGCUGUCCAUAAACACUACAGCCUCGAGCAGUGGAAAGAGUUUGCUAGCCAGAAUCCUGACUGUCUUGAGCAUCUGGCUGCCAGCUCAGGCACAGGCUCUGCUGACUUUGAGCAGCUGGAACAGAUCCUGGACACUACUCCCCAGGUGAAAUAUAUAUGCCUGGACGUGGCCAAUGGCUACUCUGAACACUUUGUUGAAUUUGUAAAGGAUGUGCGGAAGCGCUUCCCUGAACACACCAUCAUGGCAGGGAAUGUGGUAACAGGAGAGAUGGUGGAAGAGCUGAUUCUCUCUGGGGCUGACAUCAUCAAAGUGGGAAUUGGACCAGGCUCUGUGUGUACCACCCGGAAGAAGACCGGAGUGGGGUAUCCACAGCUGAGCGCAGUGAUGGAGUGCGCAGAUGCUGCCCAUGGCCUCAAAGGCCACAUCAUUUCCGUAAGGCCAAGGGCAGGGUAGGGUGUGAGGCUGCCAGACAUCUGGGUUCUCUGGCAGGUCUGGAGGCGCUGGUAGAGGUGAAUCAGGACUCCUGGGUUCCUGUCAGCUUUGAGGUGGGCCACUGGGACCUCCUAGAGGGCUUGGGGCAUCCAUGCUCUCUCUUCAUAGUGCUCCUUACUUUGCAGGACGGAGGCUGCAACUGUCCCGGGGAUGUGGCCAAGGCUUUCGGGGCAGGGGCUGACUUCGUGAUGCUGGGCGGCAUGCUGGCUGGGCACAGCGAGUCAGGUGGUGAGCUCAUCAAGAGGGAUGGCAAGAAGUACAAGCUCUUCUAUGGCAUGAGUUCUGAAAUGGCCAUGAAGAAGUAUGCCGGGGGCGUGGCUGAGUACAGGGCCUCAGAGGGAAAGACAGUGGAGGUGCCCUUUAAAGGGGAUGUGGAACAUACCAUCCGAGACAUUCUUGGAGGCAUCCGCUCCACCUGUACCUACGUGGGAGCAGCUAAGCUGAAGGAGCUGAGCCGGAGAACUACCUUCAUCCGUGUCACCCAGCAGGCUUAGAUAUGACCUGCGUUGGUGAACCCAGAUUCCUAAAGGGGAACAGCAUGACUGUGGGGCGCUCCUUAUGGCCUUUGCUAGUGGAUGCCCACCGGGACUGGAUUCUUCGCCGGCCUAGAGGGGCCAGAUUGAAGUGGUGGCCAGUCAAAGGUUCCGGGUGCUUCCUUGAGGCUGGACCCUGAGGAAGGUGUGGGCCAGGCCGGGCUUUUGGCAGAGGGUCGUGGAGUGCUGGUCUUGGUUGCUGGGGAGGACUCUGCUCCAUAGGCUCUGUCAUGUUCACUGAAUCAGUAGCAAAGCACUCUGAGAAAGAAAACAAAUCUCCUUAAAAAGGCAAUAUAGUAACACAUCGA